AGCAGCCGCGGUAAUUCCAGCUCCAAUAGCGUAUAUUAAAGUUGUUGCAGUUAAAAAGCUCGUAGUUGAAUUUCGGGAUCAAUAUAUCGGUCGUGCCAUUGGUACGUACUGGUAUCAUUGGUUUCUCCUUUCUGACGAACCAUGAUGUCAUUAAUUUGGUGUUAUGGGAAGCUAGGACUGUUACUUUGAAAAAAUUAGAGUGUUUAAAGCAGGCUAACGCUUGAAUACAUUAGCAUGGAAUAAUGAAAUAGGACGUUCGAUCUUAUUUUGUUGGUUUCUAAGAUUGACGUAAUGAUUAAUAGGGAUAGUUGGGGGCAUUAGUAUUCAAUUGUCAGAGGUGAAAUUCUUGGAUUUAUUGAAGACUAACUACUGCGAAAGCAUUUGCCAAGGAUGUUUUCAUUAAUCAAGAACGAAAGUUAGGGGAUCGAAGACGAUCAGAUACCGUCGUAGUCUUAACCAUAAACUAUGCCGACUAGGGAUCGGAUGAUGUUAAUUUUUUAAUGACUCA
rnacentral:rRNA from 1 species